GAUGAAGAACGCAGCGAAAUGCGAUAACUAAUGUGAAUUGCAGAAUUCAGUGAAUCAUCGAGUCUUUGAACGCACAUUGCGCCCUUUGGUAUUCCUUAGGGCAUGCCUGUUCGAGCGUCAUUUAAACCUUCAAGCUAAGCUUGGUGUUGGGUGACUGUCCGCUUCACGGCGGACUCGCCUCAAAAUUAUUGGCGGCCGGUACAUUGGCUUCGAGCGCAGCAGAAACGCGAACUCGGGCCCGUCGUAUUGGCUCCCAGAAGCUAUCUUCACAAUUUUGACCUCGGAUCAGGUAGGGAUACCCGCUGAACUUAAGCAUAUCAAUAAGCGGAGGA
rnacentral:misc_RNA from 1 species